UACGUAGGGGGCAAGCGUUGUCCGGAAUCAUUGGGCGUAAAGAGCACGCAGGCGGUUUGGCAAGUCGGAUGUGAAAACUCCAGGCUCAACUUGGAGACGCCACCCGAUACUGCUCUGACUUGAGUUCGGUAGGGGAGUGGGGAAUUCCUGGUGUAGCGGUGAAAUGCGCAGAUAUCAGGAGGAACACCGGUGGCGAAAGCGGCAUCCUGGACCGACACUGACACUGAGGAGCGAAAGCCAGGGGAGCAAACGGG
rnacentral:rRNA from 1 species